CCGAAUACUGUAAUGAGCCAAGCCGCUCUUAAUAAGGAGUGGGGGGAAUCGGUUUCAAUUCCAGUCGUGGAGUUUAGCCAGGGUGGGGAUCGGGCAGAGAAGACGCAGCUCCCAAACGAAGCUAUAAUCGCUCCAGUAACAGACUGGAGGAGGAGAUGAUUUCGUUAGAGGUAGGAAAGGAAGUGCCAUUAAUUCCUUGUCCCCCGACGAGUCCUUCGCAGACCUGCGAUUAAGGCCACCGAUCGGGGGCGGGAGAGAGACGUUUCCAUUGCGUCUUUUCCUCCCUUCCACUCUCCCGUCGCUCGCAGCAAACCCUUUGAUCGACAGAGGGGCGAAAACCACGUUAGGGCCGCGCCAUCCCACCCCCUCGUACUUGCGAGGCCGUCUAGGGGAUUGAAACGCGCGAGCCUGAGCUCAGAAGGAUCCUGCAGUCGCUGUGAGGGACAGGGCGGCCUGCAGGAGGCUUCCCCCGAAAAGAGACCCCACUGAGGUCAGGGGGGCUCAGUCCCAACCGAGUGUGCCAACGCGCCCUGGGCCUUUCAGGCCGACCUGCUGCUCCCCGUCGCAACUUUCGACGGCCGUUUGGCCGCCUUGAUUCGCGGUUGAAGCCCGCAAGUCUGUCCGCCGCGAAACGACAAGGCGUCGGGUCUAUGGGGGAUUGGCUACUUGGAGAGGGGAAAGGACGGGAAACGGAGCCAGUGGAUUGGGGCUUCACUAAGGCCCUGGGGUGGUUCUAAUAUUGUGCUUUAAAUUGUUGUAGCCCGCCCCGGGACUUAAGGGUGAAGAGGGGGUGAUAAAAUAACAACAAACACCACGGCUUCCACCAGCAGCAACAACAGAUUUAAUCAAUUCAUUGGUACUUUGGGCUUGCGGGUUUAAACAGAAUAAUAGAAUCAGAAUAUCAUACAAAACAAGAAGAGAGAAUGUGCUUACGUUGCUAGCUUCCGGAUUGCCAACACUUUCAAGCGCCUUAAACUUUGGCUGCAAAUUGUCCUUGAAUUGCUGCGCUGGCUUUCCAGCGUGGCUGCAAAAUGCCUACGGCACUGCCACCCAGUGCCUUCUCUCUCUCUCUCUCUCUCUCUCUCUCUCUCUCUCUCUCUCUCCACACACACACACACACACUGCUUUCUACAGAUGCACAAAGGACGCACGCAGGACUCUCCUUUAUAGCUGACAGCCCUGGGACAGCGCGCAAGAUCAGUUGCAUUGCUUCAGGGACGAACCAAAGUGAAACAGCCGAGCAGCCGAAGGGCUCCUCUUAGCAAGCAACGCUGACAGUCAGUCCGAUCCACAACUCACGGAGCGACCCAGGAGCUUCAGAUGAUGGAGCUGCGUUCAUUUGGAUCUGUGUUUCAGGGGACUUCCCAAGUCUCGAACAGCUGCCAAAUUUCCGGGGCCUUGGGAUCAAAGGAGUGAUGUCCAGCCAGAAAACGGAUCAAACCCUAACACCCCUCCUUUGAGGAAUUAAACAUUGCUGCACUGGU